AAAUUGAAGAGUUUGAUCAUGGCUCAGAUUGAACGCUGGCGGCAGGCCUAACACAUGCAAGUCGAGCGGAAACGAGUUAUCAGAACCUUCGGGGAACGACAACGGCGUCGAGCGGCGGACGGGUGAGUAAUGCCUAGGAAAUUGCCCUGAUGUGGGGGAUAACCAUUGGAAACGAUGGCUAAUACCGCAUGAUGCCUACGGGCCAAAGAGGGGGACCUUCGGGCCUCUCGCGUCAGGAUAUGCCUAGGUGGGAUUAGCUAGUUGGUGAGGUAAGGGCUCACCAAGGCGACGAUCCCUAGCUGGUCUGAGAGGAUGAUCAGCCACACUGGAACUGAGACACGGUCCAGACUCCUACGGGAGGCAGCAGUGGGGAAUAUUGCACAAUGGGCGCAAGCCUGAUGCAGCCAUGCCGCGUGUGUGAAGAAGGCCUUCGGGUUGUAAAGCACUUUCAGUCGUGAGGAAGGUGGUAGUGUUAAUAGCACUAU
rnacentral:rRNA from 1 species